rnacentral:misc_RNA from 1 species
UAGAGUUUUCAAACUCCUUAAACCCAUGUGAACAUACCUGUUGCCUCGGCGGGCCUACCCUGUAGUUACCUUGUAGCUACCCUGUAGCCUGCCGAAGGACCAUUAAACUCUUUUGUCUCUGUAUCUCUGAGUAAAAAACAAAUAAGUUA